AAUCAACGCUGGCGGCGUGCCUCAGACAUGCAAGUCGAACGCGAAAGUUCCCUUCGGGGGAGUGAGUAGAGUGGCGCACGGGUGAGUAACACGUAGGUAAUCUACCUUUGGAUGGGGAAGUAACAACCGGAAACGGUUGCUAAUACCGCAUAAUGCAGCGGCACCUAAUGGUGACAGUUGUUAAAGCGGGGGAUCGAAAGACCUCGCGUCUGAAGAGGAGCCUGCGGCGGAUUAGCUAGNGGUUAAGGUAACGGCUUACCAAGGCGACGAUCCGUAGCCGGCCUGAGAGGGCGGGUCGGCCACACUGACACUGACAUACGGGUCAGACUCCUACGGGAGGCAGCAGUC
rnacentral:rRNA from 1 species